rfam:Oryza sativa Japonica Group DNA, chromosome 3, cultivar: Nipponbare, complete sequence.
AAAAAGACAAACCCUGGGUUUCCGUGUCCAACGUUUGACCGUCCGUCUUAUUUGAAAAAAUUAUGAAAAAAAAUUAAAAAGACAAGUCACGCAUAAAGUAUUAAUCAUGUUUUAUCAUCUAACAACAAUAAAAAUACUAAUUAUAAAAAAAUUCAUAUAAGACGGACAGUUAAACGUUGGACACGGAAACUCAGGAUUUGUCUUUUU